rnacentral:rRNA from 1 species
AUUGAACGCUGGCGGCAGGCCUAACACAUGCAAGUCGAGCGGAUGAAGGGAGCUUGCUCCUGGAUUCAGCGGCGGACGGGUGAGUAAUGCCUAGGAAUCUGCCUGGUAGUGGGGGAUAACGUCCGGAAACGGGCGCUAAUACCGCAUACGUCCUGAGGGUGAAAGUGGGGGAUCUUCGGACCUCACGCUAUCAGAUGAGCCUAGGUCGGAUUAGCUAGUUGGUGGGGUAAAGGCCUACCAAGGCGACGAUCCGUAACUGGUCUGAGAGGAUGAUCAGUCACACUGGAACUGAGACACGGUCCAGACUCCUAGGGGAGGCAGCAGUGGGGAAUAUUGGACAAAGGGCGGAAGCCUGAUCCAGCCAUGCCGCGUGUGUGAAGAAGGUCUUCGGAUUGUAGAGCACUUUAAGUUGGGAGGAAGGGCAGUAAGUUAAUACCUUGCUGUUUUGACGGUACCAACAGAAUAAGCACCGGCUAACCUCGUG